UCGGGUGUGGUGUACGGAACACCGCGCGUUUCCUUGCAGAAGAGCAGACACAACGGAUGACAACGCGCAGCCCGGGGUUCGACUCCCCGCGCCCGAA